rnacentral:rRNA from 1 species
GACGAACGCUGGCGGCGUGCCUAAUACAUGCAAGUUGAGCGCUGAAGGUUGGUACUUGUACCAACUGGAUGAGCAGCGAACGGGUGAGUAACGCGUGGGGAAUCUGCCUUUGAGCGGGGGACAACAUUUGGAAACGAAUACUAAUACCGCAUAAAAACUUUAAACACAAGUUUUAAGUUUGAAAGAUGCAAUUGCAUCACUCAAAGAUGAUCCCGCGUUGUAUUAGCUAGUUGGUGAGGUAAAGGCUCACCAAGGCGAUGAUACAUAGCCGACCUGAGAGGGUGAUCGGCCACAUUGGGACUGAGACACGGCCCAAACGCCUACGGGAGGCAGCAGUAGGGAAUCUUCGGCAAUGGGCGAGAGUCUGACCGAGAAACGCCGAGGGAGUGAAGAAGGUUGUCGGGUCGUAAAACUCGGUUGGUAGGGAAGAACGUUGGUGAGAGUGGAAAGCUCAUCAAGUGACGGUAACUACCCAGAAAGGAACGGCUAACUACGUG